rnacentral:rRNA from 1 species
AAUCAACGCUGGCGGCGUGCCUCAGACAUGCAAGUCGAACGAUUAAAGCUCUCUUCGGAGAGUGUAUAGAGUGGCGCACGGGUGAGUAACACGUAAGUAAUCUACCUUUGAGUGGGGAAUAACCCGGGGAAACCCGAGCUAAUACCGCAUAAUGCAGCGGCAUCGCAAGAUGACAGUUGUUAAAGGAGCAAUCCGCUUAAAGAGGAGCUUGCGGCAGAUUAGCUAGUUGGUAAGGUAAUGGCUUACCAAGGCUACGAUCUGUAUCCGGUCUAAGAGGACGGUCGGACACACUGACACUGAAUAACGGGUCAGACUCCUACGGGAGGCAGCAGUCGGGAAUUUUGGGCAAUGGGCGAAAGCCUGACCCAGCAACGCCGCGUGAGGGAGGAAAUCCUUCGGGAU